UUCUCUACCCUCCUGGCCUCUCAGCCUCUGCUGUUCUUCUCCCUGUACGGCAUCAAAAAAGAGCCUGCAGCUUUCAGCACCACUGAGGACCAUAAUGCACAUGCAGUUAAUGGAUUCAACUCUUAUUUCCAUUUCAUCUCUCCUUUCCCUCCUGGAUGAUGCAUCACAGUACUGUUUCCACCAGACCCAAGCUCAAAAUUGAAAUCGGUGUUGGCCUCUGGCGACUGGAAUGAAAAGGAAGCUAUAUGCAGCCUCUUCCCAACCCCAAAUCUCUACCAUUUGGUCCGCGACUUGCACGCUGGACUAAGUGCGCCAUCAUCUGUUGCCUGGGUUUACGACAAUAAAUAGUCUCGUGGAAGGCCCUCGGCAUCUCCUUUUCUUCCACGGUCUACUUUCAACAAAGGAGCCGAAAAUCCUUACAUUCAAAAUAUAUCCAGGAUCCAUUCACUUCAUGUCUUGCUGUAGACUUCUCUCUGAUCUCACCACUUGGAACUAGCAACCUUAAUGUCUUUUCUGCAGACAGCCACAGAGCACUACAGGAGUUGAAGAAGAGUUCACAGUGUAUCCAGAUCUCCCACUGGCACCCAGGGAAAGAGUGGAGCAGGCAUAUGAUACGAUGUGAUGUGGUCCGGAGACCAGGACCUGGACCAGAG